rnacentral:pre_miRNA from 1 species
CAAAUACUCCCUCCGUCCGGAAAUACUUGUCAUCAAAAUGGAUAAAAGGAAAUGUAUCUAGACGUAUUUUAAUUUUAGAUACAUCUCUUUUUAUCCAUUUUGAUGACAAGUAUUUUCGGACGGAGGGAGUAGAAA